rnacentral:rRNA from 1 species
GACGAACGCUGGCGGCGUGCCUAAUACAUGCAAGUAGAACGCUGAAGGAGGAGCUUGCUUCUCUGGAUGAGUUGCGAACGGGUGAGUAACGCGUAGGUAACCUGCCUGGUAGUGGGGGAUAACUAUUGGAAACGAUAGCUAAUACCGCAUAAAAUUGAUUAUUGCAUGAUAAUUAAUUGAAAGAUGCAACUGCAUCACUACCAGAUGGACCUGCGUUGUAUUAGCUAGUUGGUGGGGUAACGGCUCACCAAGGCAACGAUACAUAGCCGACCUGAGAGGGUGAUCGGCCACACUGGGACUGAGACACGGCCCAGACUCCUACGGGAGGCAGCAGUAGGGAAUCUUCGGCAAUGGGGGGAACCCUGACCGAGCAACGCCGCGUGAGUGAAGAAGGUUUUCGGAUCGUAAAGCUCUGUUGUAAGAGAAGAACGGGUGUGAGAGUGGAAAGUUCAC